GCCCUGAUAGUAUAAACAUUAC
rnacentral:tRNA from 1 species